GCACAAGCGGUGGAGCAUGUGGUUUAAUUCGAUGCAACGCGAAGAACCUUACCUGGUCUUGACAUCCACGGAAGUUUUCAGAGAUGAGAAUGUGCCUUCGGGAACCGUGAGACAGGUGCUGCAUGGCUGUCGUCAGCUCGUGUUGUGAAAUGUUGGGUUAAGUCCCGCAACGAGCGCAACCCUUAUCCUUUGUUGCCAGCGGUCCGGCCGGGAACUCAAAGGAGACUGCCAGUGAUAAACUGGAGGAAGGUGGGAUGACGUCAAGUCAUCAUGGCCCUUACGACCAGGGCUACACACGUGCUACAAUGGCGCAUACAAAGAGAAGCGACCUCGCGAGAGCAAGCGGACCUCAUAAAGUGCGUCGUAGUCCGGAUUGGAGUCUGCAACUCGACUCCAUGAAGUCGGAAUCGCUAGUAAUCGCGGAUCAGCAUGCCGCGGUCGAAUACGUUCCGGGCCUU
rnacentral:rRNA from 1 species